GACGGAGGAGGCAAGCGUUAUCCGGAAUGAUUGGGCGUAAAGGGUUCGUAGGUGGCCAUUCAAGUCUGUCGUUAAAGCCUGAGGCUCAACCUCGGAACAGCGGUGGAAACUGGAAGGCUAGAGAGCAGUAGGGGUCACGGGAAUUUCCAGAGUAGCGGUGAAAUGCGUAGAGACUGGAAAGAACACCAACAGCGAAGGCACGUGACUGGGCUGACUCUGACACUGAGGGACGAAAGCUAGGGGAGCGAAAGGG
rnacentral:rRNA from 1 species